rnacentral:rRNA from 1 species
AUUGAACGCUGGCGGCAUGCUUUACACAUGCAAGUCGAACGGUAGAGGGGGCAACCCCUUGAGAGUGGCGAACGGGUGAGUAAUGCAUCGGAACGUGCCCAGUCGUGGGGGAUAACGCAGCGAAAGCUGUGCUAAUACCGCAUACGAUCUCUGGAUGAAAGCGGGGGACCGAAAGGCCUCGCGCGAUUGGAGCGGCCGAUGUCAGAUUAGGUAGUUGGUGGGGUAAAGGCUCACCAAGCCAACGAUCUGUAGCUGGUCUGAGAGGACGACCAGCCAGACUGGGACUGAGACACGGCCCAGACUCCUACGGGAGGCAGCGGUGGGGAAUUGUGGACAAUGGGCGCAAGCCUGAUCCAGCAAUGCCGCGUGCAGGAAGAAGGCCUUCGGGUUGUAAACUGCUUUUGUACGGAACGAAAAGGUCUGGGUUAAUACCCUGGGCACAUGACGGUACCGUAAGAAUAAGCACCGGCUAACUACGUGCCAGCCGCCGCAGUAA